GGAGCUUUCCAGUUGAGGACCCUGGAAGGACUAUCAUUGGGUUUAAUUCUGCCAUUACGCGGGUUUCCAAAAUAACUUUGGUCUGCCGUGCUGGAGACAUUAGCAUCCAUGUUCGACACACACACACACACACACACACACACUUUGUGUGUGUGUGGUGCGUCGGCGGAGCUAUGAAUGGGCAGAGAGGGGUGUGCUCUCACACACACCGACAUCAUCGUAGCAGCAGUGAGAUGAGGAGUGCCAUCUACUCUACUGCACGUCUGUACUGAGCAGAACGAAGGGAGGAAAAGAGUUGUACAACCUCAAUAUUCCAAAGGAAAUCAUCCAAUCAGCACUUAUCUUCUCUUGAGACGGAUUGUCAAGUCAGCCAUGGAACAGAAGGCAAAUGAGUGUCCCACCACCACGUCUCCUCAGAAGUACAUGAAGAACAGGUCCAAAUCCACAGAGGAGAUGCAACAGACCAAGAAGUCCUUCUCUUCUCAAAAAUCCCUCCCGGGCAGACCAGAGCUGGACAAAGUAAAGGAGUCAUCCGAAGGCUCCGACACGCCGUCGUCCUCCACUGAGGAGCUAAAGUGACAAAGGGAAAGACAUUCGAGUCAAGCCAUCAAGUUACAAAAUCUUAACAUGCAUACAAAUGUAAUUCAAGAAAACAUUCAAAUCAUUAUUCAAGAUAUUUGUGAACUAGAUUAGAAAAUGCACAAGUAAAGGAUUGGUGGAACAAAACAUACAAAAUGGGCCAAAUUGAAGACACACACACACACAGUCCAAAUGAUUGAAUCCAUUGCUUGUAAACCUGUCAUGAUGCUCCUUUGUGGUAAUGUGAGUGGCGUAUACUUACCAAACUGAAUAUAUACAUUCAUUACGUGUGUGUGUACAAUAAAGUGAUGCUGUUAACUGGAUCAGUCUUUAUCAAGAA
ensembl:lncRNA